rnacentral:rRNA from 1 species
CCUANGGGAGGCAGCAGUCGGGAAUUUUGGGCAAUGGGCGAAAGCCUGACCCAGCAACGCCGCGUGAAGGAUGAAAUCCCUCGGGAUGUAAACUUCGCAAGAACGGGAAGAAUAAGUAGGGGACAAUACCCCCUAUGAUGACGGUACCGUUUGUAAGCUCCGGCUAACUCCGUGCCAGCAGCCGCGGUAAUACGGGGGGAGCAAGCGUUGUUCGGAUUUACUGGGCGUAAAGGGCGCGUAGGCGGCCAGCACAAGUCAGUUGUGAAAUCUCCGAGCUUAACUCGGAAAGGUCAACUGAUACUGUGCGGCUAGAGUGCAGAAGGGGCAACUGGAAUUCUUGGUGUAGCGGUGAAAUGCGUAGAUAUCAAGAGGAACACCUGCGGCGAAGGCGGGUUGCUGGGCUGACACUGACGCUGAGGCGCGAAAGCCAGGGGAGCGAACGGGAUUAGAUACCCUGNUANUC